AGCGAACGCUGGCGGCAGGCCUAACACAUGCAAGUCGAGCGCCGUAGCAAUACGGAUUGGCAGACGGGAUAGUAACACGUGGGAACGUGCACUUUGGUUCGGCAUAACUCAGGGAAACUUGAGCUAAUACCGGAUAAGCCCUUACGGGGAAAGAAUUAUUGCCAUUGGAGCGGCCUGUGUCGGAUGAGCUAGGUGUUGAGGUAAUGGCUCACCAAGGCGACGAUCCGUAGCUGGGCUGAGAGGAUGACCAGAAUCACUUGGACUGAGACACGGCCCAGACUCCUACGGGAGGCAGCAGUGGGGAAUAUUGGACAAUGGGCGCAAGCCUGAUCCAGCCAUGCCGCGUGGAUGAUGAAGGCCCUAGGGUUGUAAAGUCCUUUUAACGGGGAAGAUAAUGACGGUACCCGUAGAAUAAGCCCCGGCUAACUUCGUGCCAGCCGCCGCCGUAACAC
rnacentral:rRNA from 1 species